GUGCCAGCAGCCGCGGUAAUACGGAAGGUCCGGGCGUUAUCCGGAUUUAUUGGGUUUAAAGGGAGCGCAGGCUGAUUGUUAAGCGUGACGUGAAAUGUAGCCGCUCAACGGCUGAACUGCGUCGCGAACUGGGCAGUCUUGAGUGAGUACGACGUCAGCGGAAUUCGUGGUGUAGCGGUGAAAUGCUUAGAUAUCACGAACGAACCCCGAUUGCGAAGGCAGCUUGACGAGUCCUUUACUGACGCUAAAGCUCGAAGGUGCGGGUAUCGAACAGGAUCAGAUACCCUGGUAGUCCGCACGGUAAACGAUGGAUGCCCGCUGUUGGCGAUAUAGUGUCAGCGGCCAAGCGAAAGCGUUAAGCAUCCCACCUGGGGAGUACGCCGGCAACGGUGAAACUCAAAGGAAUUGACGGGGGCCCGCACAAGCGGAGGAACAUGUGGUUUAAUUCGAUGAUACGCGAGGAACCUUACCCGGGCUUGAACUGCAGGGGAACGAUCCAGAGAUGGUGAGGUCAGCAAUGACCCCUGUGGAGGUGCUGCAUGGUUGUCGUCAGCUCGUGCCGUGAGGUGUCGGCUUAAGUGCCAUAACGAGCGCAACCCUUGUCUGUAGUUGCCAUCAGGUGAUGCUGGGCACUCUGCGGAUACUGCCACCGUAAGGUGUGAGGAAGGUGGGGAUGACGUCAAAUCAGCACGGCCCUUACGUCCGGGGCUACACACGUGUUACAAUGGGGUGUACAGAGAGUCGGUGCAUGGCAAUAUGCAUCCAAUCCUUAAAGCACUCCUCAGUUCGGAUUGGGGUCUGCAACCCGACCCCAUGAAGCUGGAUUCGCUAGUAAUCGCGCAUCAGCCAUGGCGCGGUGAAUACGUUCCCGGGCCUUGUACACACCGCGCGU
rnacentral:rRNA from 1 species